rnacentral:rRNA from 1 species
GACGAACGCUGGCGGCGUGCUUAACACAUGCAAGUCGAACGCUGAAGCCCUUCGGGGUGGAUGAGUGGCGAACGGGUGAGUAACACGUGGGUAAUCUGCCCUGCACUCUGGGAUAAGCCUUGGAAACGGGGUCUAAUACCGGAUAGGACACAUCGCCGCAUGGUGUGUGUGUGGAAAGUUCCGGCGGUGCAGGUUGAGCCCGCGGCCUAUCAGCUUGUGGGUGGGGUGAUGGCCUACCAAGGCGACGACGGGUAGCCGGCCUGAGAGGGUGACCGGCCACACUGGGACUGAGACACGGCCCAGACUCCUACGGGAGGCAGCAGUGGGGAAUCUUGCGCAAUGGGCGAAAGCCUGACGCAGCAACGCCGCGUGGGGGAUGACGGCCUUCGGGUUGUAAACCUCUUUCGACCGGGACGAAGGAUUCGUUUGACGGUACCGGUAGAAGAAGCACCGGCUAACUACGUGCCAGCAGCCGCCGUAA